UACGUAGGUGGCAAGCGUUGUCCGGAUUUACUGGGCGUAAAGGAUGUGUAGGCGGAUACUUAAGUAAGAUGUGAAAGCCCCGGGCUCAACCUGGGGACUGCAUUUCAAACUGGGUAUCUAGAGUGCAGGAGAGGAAAGCGGAAUUCCUAGUGUAGCGGUGAAAUGCGUAGAGAUUAGGAAGAACAUCAGUGGCGAAGGCAGCCCUCUGGGACAUGACUGACGCUCUUGCACGAAAGCGUGGGGAGCAAACAGGAUUAGAUACCCUGGUAGUCCACGCCGUAAACGAUGAGUACUAGGUGUAGGAGGUAUCGACUCCUUCUGUGCCGCAGCUAACGCAAUAAGUAUUCCGCCUGGGAAGUACGAUCGCAAGAUUAAA
rnacentral:rRNA from 1 species